rnacentral:lncRNA from 1 species
CAGAAUAAAAAGGGGAGAUAAAGCGUAAGGAGCAGGACAAGACAUCUGAGGAAAGACGAGAGAGACGAGAGGAUAUACAGCAUCAGCGAGGGACAUCUGCGAUAAGUACGAGGGAGAAAGACUAUAAUACUGUCUGAUACGGGAUCAGAUACCAGUCCAUCUCAGGCUAUUUAUCGUGGGACUUCUAUUUCUUGUGGGGGAAUCGCAAAGCCCAAAAGGCGAUCGUGUUCGGUCGCAAUAUCCCGCUGUUGUGGACUAAUCUAGACGGACCUUCUUCAAACGACAUUUUCCUGCAGGCCAUGGCUGUGGACUCUCGCCCCCACGCUAGAGCGACUGUGACGGCCCGGUCUGUUUUAAUGUGGUAAGUUUGCCCGCCGCGUCCGCGAGAGGCAAGAGGCGAGCGUGAUCCGCCCUUCGGGGACAGGCUUGAGAGGUGGACUUUACACGCUACACUGCUUUAUUAUGGGCUUUGAUAGCCACACGUUUUCCCCUGAUUAACCAUCCAGCAGAGGAAACACGAACAAAAGGAACAAACAAGUUCGCAGUCGACGAUAAUGGAGUUGAUUUAAUUAUUUGCAGACAGCAAAUGGAAAUAUCUUUUAUGUCCUUCGCUUAAAAAAAAAACAAGAGAAAGUGAAAGUGCUGUUAGGAUGCAGACA